CUACGGGGUGCUGCAGUGGGGAAUUUUGCACAAUGGGGGAAACCCUGAUGCAGCGACGCCGCGUGCGGGAAGAGGGCCUUAGGGUUGUAAACCGCUUUCAAUUGUGAAGAAGGGAUGAGAGUUAAUAGCUUUCUGACUUGACGGUAGCAUUAGAAGAAGCACCGGCUAAUUUCGUGCCAGCAGCCGCGGUAAUACGAAAGGUGCAAGCGUUGUUCGGAUUUACUGGGCGUAAAGAGAUCGUAGGUGGUUUAUUAAGUCGGAUGUGAAAUCCCGGAGCUCAACUUCGGAACUGCAUUCGAUACUGGUAGGCUAGAGUUCGGGAGGGGAAAGCGGAAUUCCGUGUGUAGCAGUGAAAUGCGUAGAUAUACGGAGGAACACCUGAGGCGAAGGCGGCUUUCUGGACCGAUACUGACACUGAGGAUCGAAAGCGUGGGUAGCAAACAGGAUUAGAUACCCCAGUAGUC
rnacentral:rRNA from 1 species